GAUGAACGCUGGCGGCGUGCCUAAUACAUGCAAGUCGAGCGAACAGACGAGGAGCUUGCUCCUCUGACGUUAGCGGCGGACGGGCGAGUAACACGUGGAUAACCUACCUAUAUGACUGGGAUAACUUCGGGAAACCGGAGCUAAUACCGGAUAAUAUAUUGAACUGCAUGGUUCAAUAGUGAAAGACGGUUUUGCUGUCACUUAUAGAUGGAUCGGCGCCGCAUUAGCUAGUUGGUAAGGUAACGGCUUACCAAGGCAACGAUGCGUAGCCGACCUGAGAGGGUGAUCGGCCACACUGGAACUGAGACACGGUCCAGACUCCUACGGGAGGCAGCAGUAGGGAAUCUUCCGCAAUGGGCGAAAGCCUGACGGAGCAACGCCGCGUGAGUGAUGAAGGUCUUCGGAUCGUAAAACUCUGUUAUUAGGGAAGAACAAAUGUGUAAGUAACUAUGCACGUCUUGACGGUACCUAAUCAGAAAGCCACGGCUAACUACGUG
rnacentral:rRNA from 1 species